rnacentral:rRNA from 2 species
AUUUUUAUGGAGAGUUUGAUCCUGGCUCAGGAUGAACGCUGGCGGCGUGCCUAAUACAUGCAAGUCGAGCGAACGGACG